rnacentral:rRNA from 1 species
GACGAACGCUGGCGGCGUGCUUAACACAUGCAAGUCGAACGGAGCUAUUUAUUUCGGUAGAUAGCUUAGUGGCAAACGGGUGAGUAACGCGUAGGCAACCUGCCCUCAGGAUGGGGACAACGGCUCGAAAGAGCCGCUAAUACCGAAUGACGUAACUCUUCCACAUGGAAGAGAUACUAAAGAUGGGUCAAACCAUCGCCUAAGGAUGGGCCUGCGUCUGAUUAGCCAGUUGGUGAGGUAACGGCUCACCAAAGCGACGAUCAGUAGCCGGUCUGAGAGGAUGAACGGCCACAAUGGGACUGAGACACGGCCCAUACUCCUACGGGAGGCAGCAGUGGGGAAUCUUCCGCAAUGGGCGAAAGCCUGACGGAGCAACGCCGCGUGAGUGAAGAAGGUCUUCGGAUCGUAAAGCUCUGUUGUCGGGGACGAAAGAGUAGACGAGGAAAUUCGUCUACUAAGG